rnacentral:rRNA from 1 species
UACCUGGUUGAUCCUGCCAGUAGUCAUAUGCUUGUCUCAAAGAUUAAGCCAUGCAUGUCUAAGUACAUGCCGAAACAAGGCGAAACCGCGAAUGGCUCAUUAAAUCAGUUAUGGUUCCUUAGAUCGUUUCUUCCUACUUGGAUAACUGUGGCAAUUCUAGAGCUAAUACAUGCAGUGAGCCCGAAGCCCCUCGGGGCGACGGGUGCUUUUAUUAGACCAAGAUCAAUCGGGCUUCGGUCCGUUUUGUGUGGUGACUCUGGAUAACUUUGUGCUGAUCGCACGGCCACGAGCCGGCGACGUUUUUUUCAAGUGUCUGCCUUAUCAACUGUCGAUGGUAGGUUAUGCGCCUACCAUGGUUUUUACGGGUAACGGAGAAUCAGGGUUCGAUUCCGGAGAGGGAGCCUGAGAAACGGCUACCACAUCCAAGGAAGGCAGCAGGCGCGCAAAUUACCCACUCCCGGCACGGGGAGGUAGUGACGAAAAAUAACAAUACGGGACUCUUUUGCAAGUCUGGUGCCAGCAGCCGCGGUAAUUCCAGCUCCAAUAGCGUAUACUAAAGUUGCUGCGGUUAAAAAGCUCGUAGUUGGAUCUCAGUUACAGGCGGGAAGUGCGUGGACACCACGUUACGGCCCGUGCUGAACAUCAUGCCUGUCGUGGCUUGGUUCCCUUCAUCAGGUGCCUUGCUUUGGCCGGCGCGUUUACUUUGAAAAAACUAGAGUGCUCAACGCAGGCGAUUCGCCUGAAUAACAGUGCAUGGAAUAAUAGAACAAGAUCCUGUUUCUGUUCUGUUGGUUUUUGGAAUACAGGAUAAUGAUUAAGAGGGACAGACGGGGGCAUUCGUAUUGCGGCGCUAGAGGUGAAAUUCUUGGACCGUCGCAAGACGAACUACUGCGAAAGCAUUUGCCAAGAAUGUUUUCAUUGAUCAAGAACGAAAGUUAGAGGUUCGAAGGCGAUCAGAUACCGCCCUAGUUCUAACCAUAAACGAUGCCAACCAGCGAUCCGCCUGAGUUACUCAAAUGACUCGGCGGGCAGCUUCCGGGAAACCAAAGUAUUUGGGUUCCGGGGGAAGUAUGGUUGCAAAGCUGAAACUUAAAGGAAUUGACGGAAGGGCACCACCAGGAGUGGAGCCUGCGGCUUAAUUUGACUCAACACGGGAAAACAACCCGGCCCGGACACUGGGAGGAUUGACAGAUUGAGAGCUCUUUCUUGAUUCGGUGGAUGGUGGUGCAUGGCCGUUCUUAGUUGGUGGAGCGAUUUGUCUGGUUAAUUCCGAUAACGAACGAGACUCUAGCCUAUUAAAUAGGUGCGUGGUUCUCUGCACCUUGCACCCUUCUUAGAGGGACAAGCGGCUCCUAGCCGCACGAAACAGAGCAAUAACAGGUCUGUGAUGCCCUUAGAUGUCCGGGGCCGCACACGCGCUACACUGAAGGAAGCAGCGUGUUUUUAUCCCUGUCUGUAAAGACUGGGUAACCCGUGGAACCUCCUUCGUGAUUGGGAUAGGGGCUUGCAAUUGUUCCCCUUGAACGAGGAAUUCCCAGUAAGCGCGAGUCAUAAGCUCGCGUUGAUUACGUCCCUGCCCUUUGUACACACCGCCCGUCGCUACUACCGAUUGAAUGAUUUAGUGAGGUCUUCGGACCGAGACCCGGAGCGGCCUUUCGGUUGCGCCGGUGUGUUGGAAAGAUGACCAAACUUGAUCAUUUAGAGGAAGUAAAAGUCGUAACAAGGUUUCCGUAGGUGAACCUGCGGAAGGAUCAUUA